GAGUGUGCUCAAAUAUGUGCGUCAGAGUCUGAGUGUCAUUCCCUUUCGUACAGUGAGGCAAGUAAACUCUGUCAUAUGAUGUCAUACACUGUCCUACCCCAAGAUGAGCCUCUCAAUGAAGGGGGAUUGCAAUCAUACACGAAGGAGGGGACUUGUCCUCCUGGGUACACCUUCAUCGGCUGGACUUGUCUGAAAAUGUCCAGUGUAUACAGUAAUUACACCGCUGCCUCAGACGCAUGCCUCAGUGAUGGAGCAGUCCUGGCUCAGAUGACGCCUGUCAGGUUAUUUGACGAAAUCGUCAGACACUUGUUCAUUAAUGGAUAUAUCUGGGUUGGCUCAGAUGACUUACAGGAGGAAGGUACCUGGAGAUGGAUUGAUGGUACCUUGAUAACACCCUGGUGUGACGGGGAGCCAAACAACUUGGUUGAG